UGAAUCUUCACCAGAACACUACAAGAAUGUAAGCUCCAUGAGGUCAUGGAUUGUGUAUUUUGUUCACUGCUGUAUUCCCUGAGCCUGGAACAGUGCCUGACACAUAGUAGAUGCGCAGUAAAUAUUUGGUGAAUGAAUGAACAAACGCUAAUACAUCAAAGAGACAACAUCAAAGAACAGACUCCACAGGGCAGUUUACAUCUUCAUUGUUUGGCCCGACCCUUCUUGUUUGAGGGUGGAUUUUCAAAAUUACUGCUGAAGGCAAUUGGGAGCCUUGAAAGCUUUUAAAGGAGACGGGGUCUCACCACAUUGUCCAGGCUGAUCUCGAACUCCUGACUUCAAGCGAUCUCACCUCGGCCUCCCAAAGUGCUGGGAUUACAGGCAUAAGCCACCGUGCCUGGCCAAUUAUGUAAGUAUUUUAAAAAGAUCCUUUGGCCAGCUGGAGAGUAGAUGGGGAUGGGGACAAUAGUGGAAACAAGAAGGCUCGUGGGGGCGGUUGUUAAAAUUAUGCUUUUUUUUUUUUGAAACAGAGUCUCGCUCUUGUCGCCUAGGCUGGAGUGCAGUGGCACGAUCUCGGCUCACUGUAACCUCCGCCUCCCAGGUUCAAGCAGUUCUCCUGCCUCAGCCUCUGGAGUAGCUGGGAUUACAGACACCUACCACCAUGCCCGCUAAUUUUUGUAUUUUUAGUAGAGACGGGGUUUCGCCAUGUUGGCCAGGCUGGUCUCCAACUCCUGACCUCAGGUGAUCUGCCCGCCUCAGCCUCCCAAAGUGCUGGGAUUACAGGCAUGAGCCACCACGCCUGGUCAGCAAACUUUUUCUGAUAGUAAAUAUUUUAGGCUUUGCAGAUGACAUACAGUGUCUGUUGCGACUACUCAACUCUGCUGUUGCAGGAUGAAAGCUGCAGGACAAUAUGAACAGACAUUGAUGCAGUUUCCUUCCUGGAGAGGGUACACACUCAGAUCAUGAGACCUAAGAUAAAACACACACUGGAUUGUCAAGAAUCAAACAAGGACUACCAAUGGGAUCUAAUUAAACUAAAGAGCUUCUGCACAGCAAAAGAAACUACCAUCAGGGUGAACAGGCAACCUACAAAAUGGGAGAAAAUUUUCGCAACCUACUCAUCUGACGAAGGGCUAAUAUCCAGAAUCUACAAUGACCUCAAAUAAAUUUACAAGAAAAAACAACCCCAUCAAAAAGUGGGCUAAGGACAUGAACAGACACUUCUCAAAAGAAGACAUUUAUGCAGCCAAAAAACACAUGAAAAAAUGCUCAUCAUCCCUGGCCAUCAGAGAAAUGCAAAUCAAAACCACAAUGAGAUACCA
rnacentral:lncRNA from 10 species